AACGAACGCUGGCGGCAUGCCUAACACAUGCAAGUCGAACGAGACCUUCGGGUCUAGUGGCGCACGGGUGCGUAACGCGUGGGAACCUGCCCUUAGGUUCGGAAUAACUCCCCGAAAGGGGUGCUAAUACCGGAUAAUGUCUUCGGACCAAAGAUUUAUCGCCUUUGGAUGGGCCGCGUUGGAUUAGCUAGUUGGUAGGGUAAAAGCCUACCAAGGCGACGAUCCAUAGCUGGUCUGAGAGGAUGAUCAGCCACACUGGGACUGAGACACGGCCCAGACUCCUACGGGAGGCAGCAGUGGGGAAUAUUGGACAAUGGGCGAAAGCCUGAUCCAGCAAUGCCGCGUGAGUGAUGAAGGCCUUAGGGUUGUAAAGCUCUUUUACCCGGGAUGAUAAUGACAGUACCGGGAGAAUAAGCUCCGGCUAACUCCGUG
rnacentral:rRNA from 1 species